UGGGAAUCUUCCGCAAUGGACGAAAGUCUGACGGAGCAACGCCGCGUGAGUGAAGAAGGUUUUCGGAUCGUAAAACUCUGUCUUUUGGGGCGAACGUGAGUAUGGUGAACAAUCAUAGUCAGUGACGGUACCAAAGGAGGAAGCCACGGCUAACUACGUGCCAGCAGCCGCGGUAAUACGUAGGUGGCAAGCGUUGUCCGGAAUUAUUGGGCGUAAAGAGCGCGUAGGCGGGAUAGUCAGUCUGUUGUAAAAGUGCGGGGCUCAACCCCGUGAUGGCAAUGGAAACAGCUAUUCUUGAGUGCAGGAGAGGAAAGUGGAAUUCCCAGUGUAGAGGUGAAAUGCGUAGAUAUUGGGAGGAACACCAGUGGCGAAGGCGACUUUCUGGACUGUGUCUGACGCUGAGGCGCGAAAGCCAGGGGAGCGAACGGGAUUUAGAUACCCCGGUAGUCCUGGCCGUAAAACGAUGGGUACUAGGUGUGGGAGGUAUCGACCCCC
rnacentral:rRNA from 1 species